GCUCGCCUUCCGGAGCCGGAGGGACUCUUCUCCACAAGACUGAGGGGAAGGCGGCGGCGGCGGCGCGCGAAGGGAGUCGCGCUUCGUCCAAGCGGGGCCCCCCACCGAGUGAAGGGAGCGGCAGAAGCGGGGCAGCAGGGAGGGGCGGGGGAAGAACCCCGAGAAAAUAAGGCUGGAAACGUGAAGAGGGAUCGCCUUUAUAUGGCAUGCAUGCGACCACUUUCGUGAGCGAUCCUUAGGAUCCCCCGCGCAGAGAUGAAGGAGAACCUGCUCACUUAGCACACACCCGCCACCGCCCACAGCUCAGCAUGCGAAUGUGGUGGCUGGCCUGCGGCUGAGGAGCAGCUUUCCAUUUCAGCCACUCAAGAAGACCAGCAAACAAGCAGGUGAGAGGUGAGAGGUGAGAGCGGAGGAAUGCUCCAUCUCCUUUCUGGUUUGAUAUUUGAGUUAUUUCAUCUCCCUUUCAAAACCACAGGAGGGAGAGAUACAGACACCCUUUAAAAGGUGCCUCUUAAUUUCUCUCCUCUUUUGCUCUUCUUAUAAUAUCUGGCUCUCAGGAACAAUUCACACGUACGUCAUUGUUUUCUGUUUUUGAUUAUAUUUUAUUUUAUGGGGUAUUGCGCCUUUCAUUAUGUGAACUGCUCUGACAGUUCUUCGUGGAAGGAAUAAGCGAA